GGCCCCGUGGCGGAACGGCAGACGCAGCGGACUUAAAAUCCGCGAUCCCGCAAGGGGUGUGUGGGUUCAAAUCCCACCGGGGCCA
rnacentral:tRNA from 1 species